UACGGGGGGGGUAAGCGUUGUUCGGAAUUACUGGGCGUAAAGGGCUCGUAGGCGGCCAACUAAGUCAUACGUGAAAUCCCUCAGCUUAACUGGGGAACUGCGUCUGAUACUGGAUGGCUUGGAUUUGGGAGAGGGAUGCGGAAUUCCAGGUGUAGCGGUGAAAUGCGUAGAUAUCUGGAGGAACACCGGUGGCGAAGGCGGCAUCCUGGACCAAUAUUGACGCUGAGGAGCGAAAGCCAGGGGAGCAAACGGG
rnacentral:rRNA from 1 species